rnacentral:rRNA from 1 species
CCUACGGGGUGCAGCAGUGAGGAAUAUUGGUCAAUGGGCGCGAGCCUGAACCAGCCAAGUAGCGUGAAGGAUGACUGCCCUACGGGUUGUAAACUUCUUUUAUAAAGGAAUAAAGUGAGGCACGUGUGCCUUUUUGUAUGUUCUUUAUGAAUAAGGAUUGGCUAACUCCGUGCCAGCAGCCGCGGUAAUACGGAGGAUUCGAGCGUUAUCCCGAUUUAUUGGGUUUAAAGGGAGCGUAGAUGGGUUGUUAAGUCAGUUGUGAAAGUUUGCGGCUCAACCGUAACAUUGCCAUUGAUACUGGCGGUCUUGAGUACAGUUGAGGUAGGCGGAAUUCGUGGUGUAGCGGUGAAAUGCUUAGAUAUCACGAAGAACUCCGAUUGCGAAGGCAGCUUACUAAACUGCCACUGACAUUGAUGCUCGAAAGUGUGGGUAUCAAACAGGAUUAGAUACCCUUGUAGUC